UCAAUAAGCGGAGGAAAAGAAACCAACAGGGAUUGCCCCAGUAACGGCGAGUGAAGCGGCAACAGCUCAAAUUUGAAAUCUGGCUCCUAGAGUCCGAGUUGUAAUUUGUAGAGGAUGCUUUUGAUGCGGUGCCUUCCGAGUUCCCUGGAACGGGACGCCAUAGAGGGUGAGAGCCCCGUCUGGUCGGAUGCCAAAUCUCUGUAAAGCUCCUUCGACGAGUCGAGUAGUUUGGGAAUGCUGCUCUAAAUGGGAGGUAUAUGUCUUCUAAAGCUAAAUAUUGGCCAGAGACCGAUAGCGCACAAGUAGAGUGAUCGAAAGAUGAAAAGCACUUUGAAAAGAGGGUUAAAUAGUACGUGAAAUUGUUGAAAGGGAAGCGCCUAUGACCAGACUUGGGCCCGGUGAAUCAUCCAGCGUUCUCGCUGGUGCACUUUGCCGGGCACAGGCCAGCAUCAGUUUGUCUUGGGGGAAAAAGGCUUUGGGAACGUGGCUCCCUCGGGAGUGUUAUAGACCAUUGCAUAAUACCCUGGGACGGACUGAGGUUCGCGCAUCUGCAAGGAUGCUGGCGUAAUGGUCAUCAGCGACCCGUCUUGAAACACGGACCAAGGAGUCGUCUUCGUAUGCGAGUGUUCGGGUGUAAAACCCCUACGCGUAAUGAAAGUGAACGCAGGUGAGAGCUUCGGCGCAUCAUCGACCGAUCCUGAUGUUCUCGGAUGGAUUUGAGUAAGAGCAUACGGGGCCGGACCCGAAAGAAGGUGAACUAUUCCUGUAUAGGGUGAAGCCAGAGGAAACUCUGGUGGAGGCUCGCAGCGGUUCUGACGUGCGAAUCGAUCGUCAAAUAUGGGAAUGGGGGCGAAAGACUAAUCGAACCUUCUAGUAGCUGGUUUCCGCCG
rnacentral:rRNA from 1 species